rnacentral:rRNA from 1 species
AACGAACGCUGGCGGCAUGCCUAACACAUGCAAGUCGAACGAGACCUUCGGGUCUAGUGGCGCCCGGGUGCGUAACGCGUGGGAACCUGCCCUUAGGUUCGGCAUACCUCAGAGAAAUUUGAGCUAAUACCGGAUAAUGUCUUCGGACCAAAGAUUUAUCGCCUUUGGUUGGUCCCGCGUAGGAUUAGCUUGUUGGUGGGGUAAUGGCCUACCAAGGCGACGAUCCUUAGCUGGUCUGAGAGGAUGAUCAGCCACACUGGGACUGAGACACGGCCCAGACUCCUACGGGAGGCAGCAGUGGGGAAUAUUGGAAAAUGGGCGAAAGCCUGAUGCAGCAAGGACGCGUGAGUGAUGAAGGCAUUAGGGUUGUAAAGCUCUUUUAACAGGGAUGAUAAUGACAGUACCUGGAGAAUAAGCUCCGGCUAACUCCGUG